AUAUCAGCAAUGGUAGAGACCGGCGGACGGGUGCGUAACGCGUAUGCAACUUACCUUAUACAGGGGGAUAGCCCGUGGAAACGCGGAUUAAUACUCCAUGAUUCAUCAGAUCUGCAUGGUUUUGAUGAAAAAGCUGAGGUGGUAUAAGAUAGGCAUGCGUCUGAUUAGCUAGUUGGUAGGGUAACGGCCUACCAAGGCGACGAUCAGUAGGGGUUCUGAGAGGAAAAACCCCCACACUGGUACUGAGACACGGACCAGACUCCUACGGGAGGCAGCAGUGAGGAAUAUUGGUCAAUGGGCGGGAGCCUGAACCAGCCAUUCCGCGUGAAGGAAGAAGGCCUUAUGGGUUGUAAACUUCUUUUCUAUAAGGAGAAUAGCCUCGACGCGUCGGGGUAUGACGGUAUUAUAGGAAUAAGCAUCGGCUAACUCCGUGCCAGCAGCCGCGGUAAUACGGAGGAUGCAAGCGUUAUCCGGAUUUAUUGGGUUUAAAGGGUGCGCAGGUUGUUUGAUAAGUCAGUGGUGAAAGUCUGUCGCUUAACGACAGGAUUGCCAUUGAUACUGUUGGACUUGAGUAUGGAUGAGGUAGGUGGAAUGUGUAGUGUAGCGGUGAAAUGCAUAGAUAUUACACAGAACGCCGAUUGCGGAGGCAACUUACUAAUCCACGACUGACGCUGAGGCACGAAAGCGUGGGGAUCAAACAGGAUUAGAUACCCUGGUAGUCCACGCCGUAAACGAUGAUCACUCGCUGUUUGCGAUAUACAGUAAGCGGCUGAGGCGAAAGCAAUAAGUGAUCCACCCUGGGGAGUACGAUCGCCAAGGUUGAAACUUCAAAGGAAUUGACG
rnacentral:rRNA from 1 species